ACUUUUUCUGUAAAAUGAGGCAGCUUUCCUGGUUCAAACCCUCUCAGGCUUGUUAUUAAAAAAUUGUUGUCAGAUUUGGAGAAACAGAAUUAAAGGCAGAGGGGGGAAUGGAAGAAGAGCCUACGUAUGAGGACAUGGCAACCGAGGAACCGCCGCAGGAUAGCGAUGUUGAAAACCAGCCGAUAGACCCCGAAUUAUGGAAAGAUGGCGAUAUUGUUACGAUAACAAAGCCGGGGCCAUACAAGAUUACUGCUUUGGUGUGUGACUAAUGGCCAACAGUUGCAGAGACAGAAACUCCCGAGGAGGCUGCUGAAACUAUGAUUGACGGAGCCGUUGCCGGAGGCGAUUCAGAAACAAAGGCUACAAACGGGGUGUCAAUGGUAAAACCCAAAGAGCAUGGCGAGAAAGGUGCUACGGGGUCCGACGGUGCCUCAGCUGAGGAUGAUGAUAAUUCAGAAUCAGACGAAGACGUCUUCAGAGGAUGAAGAGAAGCGGCCUUUAAGCAGAACAACCGUAAUAUGUAGCUGUUGUUUUUGUGUGAAGCAAGAUGUUAAAAAAAAGUCUGUAACAAGUAAGGAGAGGGACCAGAACAGCUGUGAAGAAGAAGAUGCCGUUAUGGUUGAUAUUAUUAGAGCUGUUGUAGGAAAAGCCUUUUCCACUGUUUGAAAAAUCAACUUUUGGAAAACUGUGCAGCCUGCGCUUUAAAUAAGUCCAACCCUUUUAGUCAUCCUUGUAAUUUUUGGGAUCGCUCAGAAGUAUUUUACCAGCUUAGACGUAUUUCUUCUAAACUGAACGCGGCCCAGCUUGUAAAUAUAAUUAUAGCUGAAGGCUACAAACUGAAAAAAAUUAACCACUGAAACUAUAACCAAAGUUGUUAAAAUGAUUAGGGAGGUUGCAAAAACAUCUGACCUUGCUGGUAGACCUGUCAAAAGAGGUGUCCCCCGAUAUUGGCCGGUCGGUGUGUAGCAGGGUUCGCAAAUGGAUUAUAAAACUUUUUACACGCAAGCUUGUGACCCUAGCGGCUUAAAAAAAUAUUAAUUAAGAUGCCUUGUAAAAAAAUUGUAUCACAGUUUUUAUAUUACUUUGCUUAUGCGUUAAAAAAUGUAUGUAAUUGUACCGUAAAUUACUUUGCUGCUGCUUUAAAAGUCAAAUGUGUAUAGACGUCGUUGUGUUAAAUAAAAAGAA